rnacentral:sRNA from 1 species
GCCAGGCACGGUGGCGCAUGCCUAUAAUCCCAGUGGCUCAGGAGGUUGAGGCAGGAGGAUUGCGAGUUCAAAGCCAGCCUUAGCAAAAGUGAGGGGCUAAGCAACUCAGUGACACCCUGUCUCUA